AUGGGGUCGGCCGACACGUCCGCCAAUACUCGGCGGAUUGACCCCGCCGCCGACCUUCGGGAGGCGACGGAGCGAAACGCGCGGGAGAAGCACGAUGAGGAGGAGGCCGACCAUCUGGAGAAGGCGGAGGCCGAGAAGGCAGCGGCCUCCGCCCAGAAGAAGCUGGAGGAGGCCGAAGCCACUGUCGCAGCAAGACAGCGGGCUGAGGAGACCGCGCACCGCCAAUCGGCGUUGCUUGUCAUCCUGCUAAACUCCGCGCCGCCGCCCCGGAGUUCACGGGGCAGACUAGAGAAGUCGGCGGGGAGCACCCCAUCGUGGAGAAGGAUGGUAGCGAGGCCUCCGCGUCGGGCACGGCCACGCCGCCACCACCGCCUCCACCGUCGUCUGGGAGCGCGCAUGGCAAGCAGCCGGCAGGCCUGCUAG
rnacentral:rRNA from 1 species